GCCAUUUUGAACAGAAAACUGUAACUUACUCACCCAGUCGAUGUGUUGGCCCGCUGUUUUCCGAAGUUGGCGUGGAUAAAAACAUAAUAUUAGCUAAGAUUAUAGUCCCUUCGCGAGUGACUUGGAUACGUUAUCAGAACUGGAUGGCUUCAGGGACUUUGUAUUUGUCAUCACCAGCAUACUGAGGAUAUUGGUGAUAGGUGCAGUGUACCUGAUCUACUAC